ACUCCUACGGGAGGCAGCAGUGGGGAAUAUUGCACAAUGGGGGAAACCCUGAUGCAGCCAUGCCGCGUGUGUGAAGAAGGCCUUCGGGUUGUAAAGCACUUUCAGUUGUGAGGAAAGGUUAGUCGCUAAUAUCGGCUAGCUGUGACGUUUAGCAACAGAAGAAGCACCGGCUAACUCCGUGCCAGCAGCCGCGGUAAUACGGAGGGUGCGAGCGUUAAUCGGAAUUACUGGGCGUAAAGCGCAUGCAGGCGGCCUGUUAAGUCAGAUGUGAAAGCCCGGGGCUUAACCUCGGAAUUGCAUUUGAAACUGGCAGGCUAGAGUCUUGUAGAGGGGGGUAGAAUUUCAGGUGUAGCGGUGAAAUGCGUAGAGAUCUGAAGGAAUACCAGUGGCGAAGGCGGCCCCCUGGACAAAGACUGACGCUCAGAUGCGAAAGCGUGGGGAGCAAACAGGAUUAGAU
rnacentral:rRNA from 1 species